GAGCGUGUCCGAGGCGGUCCUGUGAUGUUAAAGUACUCUUCGAUGUCAUCCUUGGCCUGAGACUCCUUGCCAUAGUCCUUAACUACUACACAACUGCAACCAACCACUUUACGGGGUUUCCCCUCUCUGUCGAUUUUUACAGAGCCCUACCCAUUCUCCUAGUUUCUUGUUGUCAUCAACCUUAAUUAGGUUGAUUUGGUGUUCAGCACAAAGGCCUCCACCAACUUGACAUACAUAGUAGGCUCAUCAUAGUUGGAUGCAAGCACACAAAGAUGGGCUUGGCGUUUGUCUAAGGCUUUGGCAGCUUCGCGAAUUCCACGUGCUAGGUCAUGGUGGAUGA
rnacentral:lncRNA from 1 species